GAUGAACGCUGGCGGCGUGCCUAAUACAUGCAAGUCGAACGCUGGAGCUCUAGCUUGCUUGAUCGAAGGAGUGGCGAACGGGUGAGUAAUACAUAAGCAACCUACCCACGAAGACUGGGAUAAUCUCUGGAAACGGGGACUAAUACCGGAUAGGUAAUCGGAAGGCAUCUUCUGGUUAUUAAAGGUUAAAAACACUGGUGGAUGGGCUUAUGGCGCAUUAGUUAGUUGGUGAGGUAACGGCCCACCAAGACGAUGAUGCGUAGCCGGCCUGAGAGGGUGAACGGCCACAUUGGGACUGAGACACGGCCCAGACUCCUACGGGAGGCAGCAGUAGGGAAUUUUCGGCAAUGGGGGCAACCCUGACCGAGCAACGCCGCGUGAGUGAAGACGGCCUUCGGGUUGUAAAGCUCUGUUGUAAGGGAAGAACGGUAGAUAGAGAAUAUCUAAGUGACGGUACCUUACCAGAAAGCCACGGCUAACUACGUG
rnacentral:rRNA from 1 species